AGCGUCGGCGAGGUGGCAAACAACCUUUGACCCGGCGAUUUCCGAAUGGGGAAACCCACCUCGCAAGAGGUACUGCACACUGAAUUCAUAGGUGUGUGGAGCGAACCCGGUGAAUUGAAACAUCUCAGUAACCGGAGGAAAAGAAAUCAACCGAGAUUCCCUUAGUAGUGGCGAGCGAAAGGGGACCAGCCCAGUUGUGGUAAUUCGACAAGUGCUAGCGGAACAGUCUGGAAAGUCUGGCCAUAGUAGGUGAUAGCCCUGUAGGCGAAAGCACAAGUCGAUGAGCAACGAAGAGUAGGACGAGACACGUGCAAUCUUGUCUGAACAUUGGGGGACCAUCCUCAAAGGCUAAAUACUCUCUACCGACCGAUAGUGAACCAGUACCGUGAGGGAAAGGCGAAAAGAACCCCGGUGAGGGGAGUGAAAUAGAACCUGAAACCGUGUGCGUACAAGCAGUAGGAGCCCGUAAGGGUGACUGCGUACCUUUUGUAUAAUGGGUCAGCGAGUUAUUUUCAGUGGCGAGGCUAACCGAAUAGGGGAGCCGUAGGGAAACCGAGUCUUAAACGGGCGUCACAGUCGCUGGGAAUAGACCCGAAGCCAGUCGAUCUAUCCAUGUCCAGGAUGAAGGUCAGGUAACACUGACUGGAGGUCCGAACGAACCACUGUUGCAAUAGUGCGUCGAUGAGGUGUGGAUAGGAGUGAAAGGCUAAUCAAGGCUGGCGAUAGCUGGUUCUCCCCGAAAGCUAUUUAGGUAGUGCCUCGAGUCAAUACUCUGGGGGGUAGAGCACUGUUUGGAGAAGGGGACCAUCUCGGUCUACCAACUCCAUGCAAACUCCGAAUACCCAGAAGUAAUACUCGGGAGACACACGGCGGGUGCUAACGUCCGUCGUGAAAAGGGAAAUAACCCAGACCAUCAGCUAAGGUCCCAAAGUUUCGGCUAAGUGGUAAACGAUGUGAGAAGGCAUAGACAGCCAGGAGGUUGGCUUAGAAGCAGCCAUCCUUUAAAGAAAGCGUAAUAGCUCACUGGUCUAGUCGGCUCGCGCGGAAGAUUUAACGGGGCUAAGCCGAGCACCGAAGCUAUGGAUGUGCAUGCCUUAGGGCGUGUACGUGGUAGGGGAGCGUUCUCUAAGCCUGCGAAGGUGCACUGUGAGGUGUGCUGGAGGUAUGAGAAGUGCGAAUGCUGACAUGAGUAACGUUAAAGCGGGUGAAAAACCCGCUCGCCGAAAACCCAAGGUUUCCUGAGCCACGUUAAUCGGCUGAGGGUGAGUCGGAUCCUAAGGCGAGGCCGAAAGGCGUAGUCGAUGGAAAGCAGGUUAACAUUCCUGCACCGCUCGUUACUGCGAUGGGAUGACGGAGAAGGCUAGGUCAGCGGCAGCAGUGCCGUUCAAGGCCGUAGGGGUGUGUUCCUGGCAAAUCCGGAGCACAGCUAUCCCCGAGAACUGAGUACUAGGAGACCUCGGUCUCCGAAGUGACUGAUGCCACGCUUCCGGGAAAAGUCUCUAAGCUUCAGGUAACGACGUCCGUACCGUAAACCGACACUGGUGGGUGAGCAGAUAAUCUGCUAAGGCGCUUGAGAGAACUCGGGUUAAGGAACUCUGCAAAUUGAUACCGUAACUUCGGGAGAAGGUAUGCCUGCUGGGGUGAGGGGAUUUACUCUCCAAGCUUCGACAGGUCACAGGUAAUCGAGGGCUGCGACUGUUUAUCAAAAACACAGGACUCUGCGAACACGAAAGUGGAUGUAUAGGGUCUGACGCCUGCCCGGUGCCGGAAGGUUAAUUGAUGGGGUCAGCCGCAAGGCGAAGCUCCUGAUCGAAGCCCCGGUAAACGGCGGCCGUAACAAUAACGGUCCUAAGGUAGCGAAAUUCCUUGUCGGGUAAG
rnacentral:rRNA from 1 species